GCGCUAGCAAGGUAGGCCGGUUCCUCUUCCUCCUCCUCCUCCUCCUCCUCCUAGAUCUAGUAGUGGCUUGGGAGAAGAAGCCAUCUCGCGGGCUAUAGAAGGACUCGGUCAUGGGAGUCAGGCAGGCUAGAUGGUAGGGAAGGAGAUCGAGUGGUUUAUGGGGCUUGGUGGUGCCAACGGCGGCCGAGCCAAGGAAGGGUGGGGCUCGAUGGCCGAAGCUCGGAGCUCAGCAUCAUCGGCGAACCUGACCAUUGUGGUGCUCUAGCGAGAGGGGGGAGGGGAAGAAUGCGUCUGCCGCAGGCGCUAGGGUUCACCGGAGCACCGGAGCAUCCGCAGGGGGGACAGGGAGGAGGAGGGGCGUUGGCGAGGGUGCAGGAGGGGCAGAGGAGGAGGGGUACGGGGUUGGAGAAGGGGGACGGUUGGAAGCCAAUCACGAGAUAGAUGACGGGGUAAC
rnacentral:lncRNA from 1 species